GAUGAACGCUAGCGGCAGGCUUAAUACAUGCAAGUCGAGGGGUAGCAAGAUUGUAGCAAUACAAUUGUUGACGACCGGCAAACGGGUGCGGAACACGUACACAACCUUCCUACAAGUGGGGAAUAGCCCAGAGAAAUUUGGAUUAAUACCCCGUAACAUAGCGAUGUGGCAUCACAUUGCUAUUAUAGCUUCGGCGCUUGUUGAUGGGUGUGCGGCCGAUUAGAUAGUUGGCGGGGUAACGGCCCACCAAGUCUACGAUCAGUAGCUGAUGUGAGAGCAUGAUCAGCCACACGGGCACUGAGACACGGGCCCGAAUCCUACGGGAGGCAGCAGUAAGGAAUAUUGGACAAUGGACGCUAGUCUGAUCCAGCCAUGCCGCGUGAAGGAUUAAGGUCCUCUGGAUUGUAAACUUCUUUUAUAAGGGACGAAAAAAGGUCUUUCUAGAUCGUCUGACGGUACCUUAUGAGUAAGCACCGGCUAACUCCGUGCCAGCCGCCGCGGUAACAC
rnacentral:rRNA from 1 species